GGUUCAAACUUGGGGUAGAUUAGAUUAGUAGGAUCAGUUGACCCUACUAAACUACUCUACUUCAAGUUUGUGCCC
rfam:Haemonchus contortus, ISE/inbred ISE, WGS project CAVP01000000 data, contig: Hcontortus_25539